UCCUACGGGAGGCAGCAGUGGGGAAUAUUGGACAAUGGGGGAAACCCUGAUCCAGCGACGCCGCGUGGGUGAUGAAGGCCUUCGGGUCGUAAAGCCCUGUCUGGGGGGACGAAUCCCCUGCCGGUGAACAAUCGGCAGGAAUGACGGUACCUUCAAAGGAAGCACCGGCUAACUCUGUGCCAGCAGCCGCGGUAAU
rnacentral:rRNA from 1 species